CCUACGGGGGGCAGCAGUGGGGAAUAUUGCACAAUGGGCGCAAGCCUGAUGCAGCCAUGCCGCGUGUGUGAAGAAGGCCUUCGGGUUGUAAAGCACUUUCAGCGGGGAGGAAGGCGGUGAGGUUAAUAACCUCAUCGAUUGACGUUACCCGCAGAAGAAGCACCGGCUAACUCCGUGCCAGCAGCCGCGGUAAUACGGAGGGUGCAAGCGUUAAUCGGAAUUACUGGGCGUAAAGCGCACGCAGGCGGUCUGUGAAGUCGGAUGUGAAAUCCCCGGGCUCAACCUGGGAACUGCAUUCGAAACUGGCAGGCUAGAGUCUUGUAGAGGGGGGUAGAAUUCCAGGUGUAGCGGUGAAAUGCGCAGAGAUCUGGAGGAAUACCGGUGGCGAAGGCGGCCCCCUGGACAAAGACUGACGCUCAGGUGCGAAAGCGUGGGGAGCAAACAGGAUUAGAUACCCCGGUAGUC
rnacentral:rRNA from 1 species